CGUCUACGACCAUAUCACCCUGAACACGCCCAAUCUCGUGUGAUCUCGGAAACUAAGCGGGGUCAGCCCGAGAGGUGGAGUUGCAACGU
ensembl:rRNA 5S_rRNA 5S ribosomal RNA